UGGUUCUGGCAUCGAUGAAGAACGCAGCGAAAUGCGAUAAGUAAUGUGAAUUGCAGAAUUCAGUGAAUCAUCGAAUCUUUGAACGCACAUUGCACUUUUUGGUAUUCCGAAAAGUAUAUUUGUUUGAGCGUCAUUUUAACAUCAAGUUUUACUUGGUUUUGAAGUCAAUUGUUGACUUUUAAACGCUGAAAAAAUCUUUUUAAGAAAAUGAAGAAUAAAUUUGGAUUUUAUUAAAAUGAUUUCAUAUUUACAACCUUUUGACCUCAAAUCAAAUAAGAAAACCCGCUGA
rnacentral:misc_RNA from 1 species